GACGAACCGUGCGAACGUUACUCGGAAUCAUUGGGCUUAAAGAGCACGUAGGCGGCGACGUAAGUCGAAGGUGAAAUCCCAACGGCUCAACCGUGGAAUUGCCCUCGAUACUGCGUUGCUUGAGGGAGAACGAGGCAUUCGGAACUUCCGGUGGAGCGGUGAAAUGUGUUGAUAUCGGAAGGAACGCCGGUGGCGAAAGCGGAAUGCUGGGUCUCUUCUGACGCUGAGGUGCGAAAGCUAGGGUAGCGAA
rnacentral:rRNA from 1 species